GACGAACGCUGGCGGCGUGCUUAACACAUGCAAGUCGAACGGAAAGGCCCUGCUUUUGUGGGGUGCUCGAGUGGCGAACGGGUGAGUAACACGUGAGUAACCUGCCCUUGACUUUGGGAUAACUUCAGGAAACUGGGGCUAAUACCGGAUAGGAGCUCCUGCUGCAUGGUGGGGGUUGGAAAGUUUCGGCGGUUGGGGAUGGACUCGCGGCUUAUCAGCUUGUUGGUGGGGUAGUGGCUUACCAAGGCUUUGACGGGUAGCCGGCCUGAGGGGGUGACCGGCCACAUUGGGACUGAGGUACGGCCCAGACUCCUACGGGGGGGAGCAGUGGGGAAUAUUGCACAAUGGGCGGAAGCCUGAUGCAGCAACGCCGCGUGCGGGAUGACGGCCUUCGGGUUGUAAACCGCUUUCGCCUGUGACGAAGCGUGAGUGACGGUAAUGGGUAAAGAAGCACCGGCUAACUACGUG
rnacentral:rRNA from 1 species